UACGGAGGUGGCAAGCGUUGCUCGGAAUCACUGGGCGUAAAGGGCGCGUAGGCGGGGAGGUAAGUCGGGUGUGAAAUCCCUCAGCUUAACUGAGGAACUGCGUCUGAGACUGGCAAGCUUGAGUGCAGGAGAGGAACGCGGAAUUCCAGGUGUAGCGGUGAAAUGCGUAGAUAUCUGGAGGAACACCGGUGGCGAAGGCGGCGUUCUGGACUGUAACUGACACUGAUGAACGAAAGCCAGGGGAGCAAACGGG
rnacentral:rRNA from 1 species